UACGGGGGGUGCAAGCGUUAAUCGGAAUUACUGGGCGUAAAGGGUGCGUAGGUGGUUUGAUAAGUUAGCUGUGAAAGCCCUGGGCUUAACCUAGGAAGGUCAGCUAAAACUGUUAGACUUGAGUAUAGUAGAGGGUGGCGGAAUUUCCGGUGUAGCGGUGAAAUGCGUAGAGAUCGGAAGGAACACCUGUGGCGAAGGCGGCCACCUGGGCUAAUACUGACACUGAGGCACGAAAGCGUGGGUAGCAAACAGG
rnacentral:rRNA from 1 species